AAAUUUGGAUUAAUACCUCAUAGUAUUAUAGAGUGGCAUCACUUUAUAAUUAAAGUCACAACGGUGAAAGAUGAGCAUGCGUCCCAUUAGCUAGAUGGUAAGGUAACGGCUUACCAUGGCAACGAUGGGUAGGGGUCCUGAGAGGGAGAUCCCCCACACUGGUACUGAGACACGGACCAGACUCCUACGGGAGGCAGCAGUGAGGAAUAUUGGUCAAUGGGCGCAAGCCUGAACCAGCCAUGCCGCGUGCAGGAUGACGGUCCUAUGGAUUGUAAACUGCUUUUGUACGAGAAGAAACAACAUUACGUGUAAUGUCUUGACGGUAUCGUAAGAAUAAGGAUCGGCUAACUCCGUGCCAGCAGCCGCGGUAAUACGGAGGAUCCAAGCGUUAUCCGGAAUCAUUGGGUUUAAAGGGUCCGUAGCGGUUUAGUAAGUCAGUGGUGAAAGCCCAUCGCUCAACGGUGGAACGGCCAUUGAUACUGCUAGACUUGAAUUUACUAGGAGGUAACUAGAAUAUGUAGUGUAGCGGUGAAAUGCUUAGAGAUUACAUGGAAUACCAAUUGCGAAGGCAGGUUACUACUAGUGGAUUGACGCUGAUGGACGAAAGCGUGGGGAGCGAACAGGAUUAGAUACCCUGGUAGUCCACGCCGUAAACGAUGGAUACUAGCUGUUGGGGGCAACUUCAGUGGCUAAGCGAAAGUGAUAAGUAUCCCACCUGGGGAGUACGGGCGCAAGCCUGAAACUCAAAGGAAUUGACGGGGGCCCGCACAAGCGGUGGAGCAUGUGGUUUAAUUCGAUGAUACGCGAGGAACCUUACCAAGGCUUAAAUGUAGAUUGACCGAUUUGGAAACAGAUCUUUCGCAAGACAAUUUACAAGGUGCUGCAUGGUUGUCGUCAGCUCGUGCCGUGAGGUGUCAGGUUAAGUCCUAUAACGAGCGCAACCCCUGUUGUUAGUUGCCAGCGAGUCAUGUCGGGAACUCUAACGAGACUGCCAGUGCA
rnacentral:rRNA from 1 species